rnacentral:rRNA from 1 species
AUUGAACGCUGGCGGCAGGCCUAACACAUGCAAGUCGAGCGGUUGAGGUAGCUUGCUACCGAAGCAGCGGCGAACGGGUGAGUAAUACAUGGGAGUCUGCCUGGUAGUGGGGGACAACGUUUCGAAAGGAACGCUAAUACCGCAUACGCCCUACGGGGGAAAGGGGGGGAUCGCAAGACCUCUCGCUAUCAGAUGAGCCCAUGUCAGAUUAGCUUGUUGGUGAGGUAAAGGCUCGCCAAGGCGACGAUCUGUAACUGGUCUGAGAGGAUGAUCAGUCACACUGGAACUGAGACACGGUCCAGACUCCUACGGGAGGCAGCAGUGGGGAAUAUUGGACAAUGGGGCAACCCUGAUCCAGCCAUGCCGCGUGUGUGAAGAAGGCCUUAGGGUUGUAAAGCACUUUCAGUGGGGAGAAAGGUGAUUCACCUAAUACGUGAGUCAAUUGAUGCUACCCACAGAAGAAGCACCGGCUAACUCCGUGCCAGCCGCCGCCGUAA